rnacentral:rRNA from 1 species
ACGAAGGGUGCAAGCGUUAUUCGGAAUUAUUGGGCGUAAAGGGCGCGUAAACGGGAUGUUAAGUCUGUUGUUAAAUUUUCCGGCCUAACCGGAAAUCUGCGAUGGAUACUGGCGUUCUAGAGGGUGGAAGAGAGAAGUGGAAUUCUCGGAGUAGCGGCAAAAUGCGUAGAUCUCGAGAGGAACACCAAUGGCGAAAGCAGCUUCUUGGUCCAUACCUGACGUUGAGGCGCGAAGGCGUGGGGAGCAAACA